rnacentral:lncRNA from 1 species
UUGAAUAUAUAGAAAUAUUCACUAAUAAAUGUUUGGUCAUGGUGCCAUGAUUUAUUUGGAUUGAAAUCUUUCAAAAUCUCAAUGUGAAUAUUUUUCUAGAAAUAUGAAUGAAAACCUCUUUUUUCCAGUCACAUGCCAGUUUUCAACCCUGCUGGCUUGAAAUUUAAAAAUAACAAACACCAUAUUUUAUUAAAGUAUUUGUAACUGACUUUUCUAUUAAAGGUGCUACAAGACAGAUGAUUUUUCACCAUCUACCAUAAUGUGGAACAGAUAUUUUGUCUUCUAUCUCCUGCUUUUGUCAGCGUUUACGAGUCAAACAGUAUCCGGACAAAGAAAGAAAGGACCAAAAUCAAAUUUGCUUGCAAGGAAAAGUGAUGUCCAGGGUAAAAAAAAAAAAAUUGUUUGUUUUUAAGUUUAGCCUGUUAAAAAUACUUAUGUGAAUUUUUCUAAAUAGCAUUUGAUAUAAAUAGCAAGCCAUAUACAUGUAUACAUGUGAUAGUCUACUUUGAUAAAAUUAUAUGAUGAUAAUAUACCUUACAUACUUAUAGCACAUCAGAGUCUUUAAUAAGAGCACUUGUGCACUUAUUAUCUCAUUUGAGCCUCACAGUAACCUUGUAAAAUAGGCAGGACGGAGAUUGCCACUCAUAGUGUAGAUUAAAAAAAUUGAGGUCUUAACAGGUCGAGUGGCAUACUCAACUCAAAGUUCAUAGACUUCCAAUUUUUAAAAUUACCUCCUUCUUUCUUAGAUGUUCUCAAGCCCAUCCAAUUUAAAAUCAUCUGCAACCUUGGUCAUGAGUGGGCUGUUGUUACUUAUUCAAUUUUACUGACCUGAACUGAGGGCAGGUGUGUUUGCAUUUGAAAUGACAUCUAGAUCACUGGAAAUGCUGAGCAUUUUUUUAACAUUUAUGUAAUGAAAAAAAUAAUAAUUAAAGAAAAGGGAGUGAUAUGCUUUGGUUAUGUCCCCACUCAAAUCUCAUCUUGAAUUGUACGUAGCUCCCAUGAUUCCCACAUGUGGUGGGAGAGACUGGUGGGAGGUAAUUAAAUCAUAGGGGGCGGGUCUUUCCCAUGCUGUUCUUGUGAUAGUGAGUAAGUCACAUGAGAUCUGAUGGUUUUAUAAGGGGAAGUUCCCCUACAUAAGCUCUCUUGCCUGUCACCAUGUAAGAUGUGGCUUUGUUCCUGCUUCACCUUCCUCCAUGAUUAUGAGGUCUCCCCAGCACUGUGGAACUGUGAGUCCAUUAAACCUCUUUGCUUUAUAAACUACCCAGUCUCAGGUGUGUCUUUGUUAGCAGCAUGAGAAUGUCCUAAUAUAAGGAAGGAAUAUUAAAGAAAUAGAAAUAUCAGGAAAUAUUUGCAUCAAAUGUAAUGGACAUUGGGUUAAUUUCUACAGUACACUGAGUUAAUUUCUGAACACAAUUUUCAAGAGAGGAAACAAAACUAGUAAAGAAAAAAGUAAAAGCACAUUUAAUUUCAUUAGGUAAUAAAAUAAAUUUAAAUAGAGAGAAUGAGAUAUCCUUUAGUAG